rnacentral:misc_RNA from 1 species
GAUGAAGAACGUAGCGAAAUGCGAUACUUGGUGUGAAUUGCAGAAUCCCGUGAACCAUCGAGUCUUUGAACGCAAGUUGCGCCCGAAACCAUUAGGCCGAGGGCACGCCUGCCUGGGCGUCACACGUCGUUGCCCCCCCAUCUACUCCUUCGGGAUUGCGGGGGGCGGAUGAUGGCCUCCCGUGCGCCUCGUCGCGCGGUUGGCAUAAAUGCCAAGUCCUCGGCGACGCACGCCACGACAAUCGGUGGUUGCGAAACCUCGGUUGCCCGUCGUGUGCGGUCGUCGCGCAUCGAGGGCUCGAAAAAAUUGCCGGGCUCCGGCUCGGCUUUCAACGCGACCCCAGGUCAGGCGGGGUUACCCGCUGAAUUUAAGCAUAUCAAUAAGCGGAGGA